rnacentral:rRNA from 1 species
UACAGAGGUCCCAAGCGUUGUUCGGAUUCACUGGGCGUAAAGGGUGCGUAGGUGGUAGGGUAAGUCUGAUGUGAAAUCUCCGAGCCUAACUCGGAAACUGCAUCGGAUACUAUCUUGCUCGAGGAAUGGAGGGGAGACUGGAAUACUUGGUGUAGCAGUGAAAUGCGUAGAUAUCAAGUGGAACACCAGUGGCGAAGGCGAGUCUCUAGACAUAUCCUGACACUGAGGCACGAAAGCCAGGGGAGCAAACGAG